GUCUACGGCCGUACCACCCUGAAUGCGCCCGAUCUCGUCUGAUCUUGGAAGCUAAGCAGGGUUGGGUCUGGUUAGUACUUGGAUGGGAGAGUCGGAUCCUUCACAAUCAGUAGAGA
rnacentral:rRNA from 1 species